rnacentral:rRNA from 2 species
GGUUAAGCGACUAAGCGUACACGGUGGAUGCCCUGGCAGUCAGAGGCGAUGAAGGACGUGCUAAUCUGCGAUAAGCGUCGGUAAGGUGAUAUGAACCGUUAUAACCGGCGAUUUCCGAAUGGGGAAACCCAGUGUGAUUCGUCACACUAUCAUUAACUGAAUCCAUAGGUUAAUGAGGCGAACCGGGGGAACUGAAACAUCUAAGUACCCCGAGGAAAAGAAAUCAACCGAGAUUCCCCCAGUAGCGGCGAGCGAACGGGGAGCAGCCCAGAGCCUGAAUCAGUGUGUGUGUUAGUGGAAGCGUCUGGAAAGGCGCGCGAUACAGGGUGACAGCCCCGUACACAAAAAU